rnacentral:rRNA from 1 species
GAUGAACGCUGGCGGCGUGCCUAAUACAUGCAAGUCGAGCGAACGGACGAGAAGCUUGCUUCUCUGAUGUUAGCGGCGGACGGGUGAGUAACACGUGGAUAACCUACCUAUAAGACUGGGAUAACUUCGGGAAACCGGAGCUAAUACCGGAUAAUAUUUUGAACCGCAUGGUUCAAAAGUGAAAGACGGUCUUGCUGUCACUUAUAGAUGGAUCCGCGCUGCAUUAGCUAGUUGGUAAGGUAACGGCUUACCAAGGCAACGAUGCAUAGCCGACCUGAGAGGGGGAUCGGCCACACUGGAACUGAGACACGGUCCAGACUCCUACGGGAGGCAGCAGUAGGGAAUCGUCCGCAAUGGGCGAAAGCCUGACGGAGCAACGCCGCGUGAGUGAUGAAGGUCUUCGGAUCGUAAAACUCUGUUAUUAGGGAAGAACAUAUGUGUAAGUAACUGUGCACAGCUUGACGGUACCUAAUCAGAAAGCCACGGCUAACUACGUG